UACGGAGGGUGCAAGCGUUAUUCGGAAUGACUGGGCGUAAAGCGCAUGUAGGCGGUUUGCUAAGUCUGAUGUGAAAGCCCUGGACUCAAUCCAGGAAGUGCAUUGGAUACUGGCAGACUAGAGUGUAGGAGAGGAGAGCGGAAUUCCUGGUGUAGAGGUGAAAUUCGUAGAUAUCCGGAGGAACACCGGUGGCGAAGGCGGCUUCCUGGACCGACACUGACGCUGAGGCGCGAAAGCUAGGGGAGCAAACGGG
rnacentral:rRNA from 1 species